rnacentral:rRNA from 1 species
UCGUUCGGGGUCCACGACAGGUGGUGCAGUCAUCUCGUCAGCUCGUAGAUGAGAUGUAAGUUAAGUCCCGCAACGAGCGCAACCCUUGUCCUCCUUGCUCACGGUUAUUGGGUGGGGAAUCAUAGGAGACCGCCGGGGUCAAAUCGGAGGAAGGUGGGGAAGACGUCAAAUCAUCAUGCCCCUUAUUUUCAGGGCUUCACACAUGCUACAAUGGCCGGUACAAAGGGCUGCGAAACCGCGAGGUGGAGCGAAUCCCAAAAAACCGGUCUCAGUUCGGAUUGGAGUCUGCAACUCGACCUCCAUGAAGUUGGAGUCGCUAGUAAUCGCAGAUCAACAACACCGGGGUGAAUAUGUUUCCCGGGUCUUGUACACACCG